rnacentral:rRNA from 1 species
GGCGAACCGUGCGAACGUUGUUCGGAUUCACUGGGCUUAAAGGGCGCGUAGGCGGGCGGUCAAGUCAGAGGUGAAAUCUUUCGGCUCAACCGGAAGAGGGCCCCUGAUACUGGCCGCCUCGAGGGAGGUAGGGGCGUGCGGAACUUCCGGUGGAGCGGUGAAAUGCGUAGAUAUCGGAAGGAACGCCGGUGGCGAAAGCGGCGCGCUGGACCUCUUCUGACGCUGAGGCGCGAAAGCCAGGGGAGCGAACGGG